CAAGUCUGCUGCGCAGUAUGCAUGCAGCCAUGCCGCGUGUGUGAAGAAGCCUUCGGGUUGUAAGCACUUUCAGCGAUGAGGAAAGGUUGGUAGCUAAUAACUGCCAGCUGUGACGUUACUCGCAGAAGAAGCACCGGCUAACUCCGUGCCAGCAGCCGCGGUAAUA
rnacentral:rRNA from 1 species